rnacentral:misc_RNA from 1 species
GAUGAAGAACGCAGCGAAAUGCGAUACGUAAUGUGAAUUGCAAAUUCAGUGAAUCAUCGAGUCUUUGAACGCACAUUGCGCCCCCUGGUAUUCCGGGGGGCAUGCCUGUCCGAGCGUCAUUGCUGCCCUCAAGCACGGCUUGUGUGUUGGGCCCCGUCCUCCGAUUCCGGGGGACGGGCCCGAAAGGCAGCGGCGGCACCGCGUCCUGUCCUCGAGCGUAUGGGGCUUUGUCACCCGCUCUGUAGGCCCGGCCGGCGCUUGCCGAUCAACCCAAAUUUUUAUCCAGGUUGACCUCGGAUCAGGUAGGGAUACCCGCUGAACUUAAGCAUAUCAAUAAGCGGAGGA